UUUUUACUCCUUUUGGAGAUACCCAAUGCACGUGAGAAUCCUACAGGCCCUAAGACAUCUUAGAGAGCCUUCUUAAGUGAUUUGGAGAUCCCAGUUCUGCUGUGUGGCCUCAGGCAAGUCACCCAACCUCUCUGUGCCUCAGCCUUGUCAUCUAUAAAAUGAAGUCUGGUUUCCCCCGAACAAGGCCUCUGGCCAAGCAAUCUGCAGGAAGGAGGGGGUGCGAUCCCGGGAGGUUGCUCUGCUGCCCCCGCUGUCGGAGGUGAACCUCCCUGGUUUAGAGGGGAGCAUGUGCACUCUGCAUCCUGCUGCCUCCCCGUCAGAGUCAGCAAAGCCGUAAGGGACUCAGUGGCGCCCUGCGGCUCUGCCUGACACACACACGUGCACUCACCCCCCUCCCCGCUCCUCCUCUCACACACGUCUGAGAACCGGGGGGCAGCCCUCAAGGAGGGAUUUCUCACCCAAUGACCCACUCUCCUCCUGCCUUCCACCUUCCUCCCGUGGCCACAAGACUUUCACACAGGUCCAUUCCUUUAAAAGUUUAUUUCUGGUGAAUAAAAAAAAAUAAUUUAUGCGACCAGAUCAGUAAAGACAUUAUGAAGUGGGGCAGAGCUUAACGUUCGCUCCUGGGCUGUGCAGCGUGGCGGGACGGCUGCUGGGUGAAACCCAGCCGUGCGGGGCUUUGUGGAACCAGGGGAUGCCAACGCAGUGACUCACACACAGAUGCUUCUGGGAGGGCUGGGGGUGGGCUCAGAGGAAGGCCAAACCCCAACUUCUUUUGCAGAAAAGAAAUGUCUCUUCAGAGUGUUUUUUUAAAUCAGGCAACAGAAGCGCUGUCACAUGCUUGUUCCUAAUGACCACAAACAUACCAUACCAAGCAGGCUCAGAAAGAUGGGGACUCAGUGCCCAGCCCCCUCAGCGCGGAGCUCGGGAACCCCAUGGGGAAGACGGCCUCCCCCAGAGCCACCUCCUGAGGCCAGCACCCGGAGGAGACUGGAGGGGGGUGCCGAGCGCGAGCACAGCUGUCAGGACCCUCCGGUUCUGAACCCGACAGCCGCUGGGCCUGGGCGAACAUCUUCCUCCAAUUCCUCGGGUCCCCAGUAAGGCUCUCAGAGGCAGCUGCCCCCUCGGGCGGGCGUGGAGGGCAUGCUUCCUCCAGGAGGCUGAGAGCCGAACAUGCUGGUCGUCUGUGCUGGGGCCUUAAGGCCAGGAUCCCCAGGGAUCCUGCAGGAGCCCAGAAUCUUAGAGCUGGGGGACACUUUGGGGUUCACUGUAUCAAGGACGAAAUAGGCCUGUCAGUGGGAGGCGCUCGGGUCCCCUAAAAUGCAGACCGCUGCUGGCUUACCACCACUGCCUGCUGCCUGGCACCCCCUGAGGCUUUGGUUUUGGGGUCAUUUUGGUGGUGGGGUUCACUUGGGGGUUCGCAAAUUUUGGUCAUAGUAUUUUGAUAAAUUACAAUAGGCUUUGGUUGCCUGUAAACUGACUGAUGAAACACCGAGAAAGCAAGCAGCGGAAGCCUAUGAAAAGCCACAGGGGAUUUUCUGUGAUAAAGCACACGCCACAGCUUAGGUCGGCUCAUCCCUCAAGGCCAUGGUGCUCCUCUGCAGGUGGUCUGAGGACCAUGACACCCAACAGGAGGGCCACCCAGUACUCAGGGUACCUGCAUGCACUGACCACCAGGUCUGCACCUGACUUAACGCCAGCAGAGUUUAAACAAAUGUUGGUUGUUUAGCCAAAUGUAGCUUUAGCAUCCUUACCCAGAGACUUUUGAAAGGCAGAACCAAGGAAAAUCCAAACUCCCAACUCAUCCAGAUCUGACUCCUUUUUUGACCUUCAGAGAUAGCAAUUUCUGUCCACAGGAUCAGCCCAAGGCUUCAAAGCCCAGCGUUAGCUCCCCUCGGGAGCACAUCUCCAUAUACCACCUGCUCUGGCUUCUCAGAGAGAUGCAUGUCUAUGCUCUAGGCCAGGGACCACCAUCCCCUGAAACCAUCCACCUCUUAGAUGCUCUGCAAUGAAUGCUCACAUCCCAAAACGGACCUCAUACCUGCCUUGGAAGACCCAGAAGCCCUCCUCAGGGCCAUAGGGGACCCCUGCAGCAGCUCCUACUGAAUAACGCUCAGACGCAGCAUGGCCUAUGGCUACUUCCCGAGAUGAGACCAGGCCAGCGUGAGGCCACACAGACGCAUAUGCUGAGGGGAUGGGGGAGUGGGGCAAAAGAAAAGCCGGCACCACACCAGCUGGUAACUGGGGACCUACCCCCAAAGCUCCUAGCAGCACAACACUCCAGGCAGAAGGACAUUAUAAAGGUCCCACAAAAAUAUGUUCAGGCCUGUUCUUUGAAGUAUAAAGGACAGGUUCCAUUCAGCCUGUCUCUGGCGGUUUUUUUCUGGUAUCAAAUGCAGUAGAGUUUCUAAAUGACUCUGAGGCAGGGACAGAAAACUCACUGCCUGCCUCUGCCUGGCUCCUGGGAUGCCAGGAAGUGACAAGGGACAGGCGGAGGGGAGGAACGGCAACCACAGUCUGGAAAAGGGGGUGGGUGGGAGGGUGGGCUAUGGUGGGGCUCCCGAGUCCUGCUAGGUGAGGCCAGUAGCACAUCGUGACGCUGAGCCUAUAUGCCUGACUCUUAAGAGCCUCAGAAAGCAGCCUGAGCCUGUCUGUGGAGUAUUUCUCCAUCCAUGGGGCCUUCAGUUUUCAUCCUGAAGUCUGAGGGGUACAGCCCAGGGCAGGGAUGAAAAGCUGUUCUAGCUACACUCAAAGAAGGUGAGGCAGGAGUAUGUCAGCUUCUCCCUGAGAGGCCAGGGCUCCACCAGCAACCUCCCCUUCAGAGCUGUGCCUACAGUCCCAACUUCCUACACACACUCUCCCCUUGCUUUACAUUUGCACUGUCUUUGCUUCCAGACUUCCUCUGUCUGGAAAAAAAAAAUUCUAUGUGUGGCCCUUAUAAGGCUCAUAUAUGGGAAACUGUCAAAAGUUUCAUUGUAUGUUAAAACCAUGACAUGGGUUAGAGACUGCUAAAGCAGGACCACUGGGCAAGGUCGCAAGGUCUAGAGGUGACACCUUUUGAGGACCAAAGCGUCAACGUUUCCCCAGGGCAGAACUGUGAAACUACACCGUGACCAAAAUAUCAGACGCGGCACAUGGUGCUGCAGAGAAGCGGAGGGUGGCCUUCAACAGUUAUUACCUUGGAAACCAUGUGCCUCCAUGACCACUGUCUUCCCACCACAAAUUCUUUCAAAGAUACCUGCUCCCCAGCAUUGCACUCUAUCACAUAAGCCCAUCAUCCUUCAUGUGCUGCUUUGAGUAAAGGCUGUUUAAAGGUAAAUCCAAGGUCUUCAUAUGCCCUUCCAUGGAGAGGGAGGGGGCUCUGAAGAGAGGGGGGGGAACAAAUAGGAAAUCUGGCAGAGUGGCAUCCAGAAGAUGGACUCUUAUACCAUGCUUUUCCACUUAUAAGAAGUAAUAAUAAGCAAAACUAACCAGUGAAAGGUUCUGAUUUCAGGAUGUACCUAGGCUUUAGGAAUAUUAAGACAUAGGAGAAAUGUCCAUCUGGGGAUGGAGGACAUGUGAUAGAUGCUCUCCAAUUCUGAAUCUGACCAUUUUGAAAGCAGAGGAGCCGAUGUGGGACCUGAAAGA